rnacentral:lncRNA from 1 species
CAACAUGCUCGAAGAAUUGCCGACGCGUCCAGGGUGGGACUGCUCUCCAAUACGGACUCCAGGUCAUUCUUGGACUGAAAGGAUUCCAGGUGUUUAUUUAGCUGAACUGAAUCCCGAGAUUUGGACAUGCUGUUUUAAGUGAUGCUAUUAGAAACGGCUAGAAAAAGAUAAAUUAGUAGUAACUGGAAAAAUGAAUACCUGCGGAAGGUCUACAAUAGCUGAUUGUAUUCAUUGUAGAAAAAGCAUUUAACCUCUUUAAUUUAUUAAUUGACCCUGGAGCUAUGGUGCAGAUAGUGGCCAUGGUGGAUGGAUGAUAUGAGGUGAUCUGGGUGCUGCAUUUGAUGGCCAUGAUCUGUUUGCUGCAGGCCAACUCCCUGCUUGUGGCCUCUGAAGGUUGGGAAACUAUAAUUGAAAUGUAUCUGAAGACAUGGUCAGCACGUUUAGGCACUUAUGAAUUCGAAAAUGUUAAUUGUUUGUUGUGCACUGAAGUUUUUGUGUUCAUAGUACUUCACGCCGAUAGCUGAUAAGGAAUUGAUUUUUUGCCAAUGUAUACAUAGAAAAGACAUGUAACUGUAGAUUUUUUUUUAAGAGAGCUAGCUACUUGGAUUACGCAUCGGCAAGUACUCCCACAGAUACAAUUAGAACUGGGUUUGCUCUUAAUUAAGCAGCUCGCUAGAUAACUUUUAAGGAUUUUCCCCAAAUCAAAAUAAUAACCUUGAAGUUCAGAUCUUCUACUGAAAGUCCUUUUCUAUCUAUGAACAUCAGGAGACAACUUCCAGUUCCAGUAGACCUAUCCGAUAGAAUUCUCGAAGCUAUUAGCUUGCAAGCUCUCAAUCAGGUAUUGUAUUCGCAACUUAGCGUAUUUUUUACUGAAGUUUGGUGCCUAACUCCCAAACAUCUUUUGUCAAUGGUAAGAAUGUAGAUGUUGACAACUUGACAUGAAUUUUAUGCUUUCUGCAAGAAGAGUGGUAUCAAUAUUAAUAGAGAAGUAGACAUUGUUCGAAUUAUUCCCGAUUAUUUGUGUUAUGUUAAUAGCUGCCUGCUCCUCCUUGGUCCCCUGUCAACUGUACAAAAGGUAAUUUAUCAGAAUCUUACAGCCUUUUAGCUGCACCUGAGCCUAUGAGGUUCCUUAGUUUCACCACUGAACAUGAAGCUACUCAAGUCUGAAGUCUGAAACGAUUGUCGGCGAUCGCAUUAUGAAUUCAGAAUUGAGAAAAUGAUGCACUAUCAAUAAAAUCAUUACAACCAGUGUCGAUUUGAACCGAUGAAUGUGCUUACUUCCAUGGUGCUACAGUAUAUACAAUCCCAAUGAUUUGUAUUCCUUGUGCCAUAAAAAUUUCUGCCGAUGCAACUGUGAGCUCAGGGGCAAUUUGUUUUAUAUUUUUAUAUAGUUGCAAUAAAAUGCUACGGUUGCGCGUUGGCUUUGCAUGUCUGAUUAGCUGGCUGAUGAAUAUUGUUACUCAAUUAAAAUGAUCUGGGAUUUUUUCAUGCCAAUAAAUACUCUCUGAAUUGUUAGUGUUUUGCACAGACUUCAUGUAGCAAGAAAUGUGAUGUCUGAAGGGAUGCACAUGUCUCCUUGGCAAAAAAAGAGACCGCAAUUAACACAAAUCCAAUGCAUCAAGGUCAGCAGUUCCAUAUUUUUAUGACCGGGAGUGUACCACUUCAUGCAUGCACUUUCUUUUAUUGUCGAUAACACGCCCGAUGCUUCGCGAAAUGUCUGAAUGAGAAAGAAAGAAAGAAAGAAAGAAAGAAAGAAAGAAAGAAAGAAAGAAAGAAAGAUAGAUAGAUAGAUAGAUAGAUAGGUAGAUAGAUAGGUAGAUAGAUAGAUAGAUAGAUAGAUAGAUAGAUAGAUAGAUAGAUAGAUAGAUAGAUAGAUAGAUAGAGAUAGAGAGUAUGUAAGUGAUGGAGCAUCAUGUGGCCUUGACGCACGGGCAUUCGUAUCUACUCCUACUUACUUAUAUCUUCUAUUCCCAGUUAAUUAGAAUUUUUUUAUUUGUGGUCAUCUCCUAAGUAAGCAAAUUAUUUUUUGUGUUAAAGAGGAGUACGUUCUGUUUUUAUUUGUGACCUGAAGGUCAGCAACGUAAAGCUUGCAUGCAUCUGAAGGCAUGUUCCAUCCUUGAAUAUAUACUAAUAUAAAGGCAUGUUACAAUUGUGGGCAGGUAGAAAAUUCAUCAUUUUAUACAAGGACUAUGGAGUUAAAUUUUGGUUGGUUGCUUUCGACUUUCACCAUUUGGCCAGCUCUAUCUCUUUCACACCUCUUCCUCUGUGACAAAGGGAUGAAGCUAUUGGUUUUGAAAUUUGAAAUAGAGGCCUGAAGUUGGCACCAAUGCUCCAAUGCAAAUUUGAUACAUCAAGGUUAGCUUUUACAUAGCUUUUGUUACUGAAAAUAUAUCAGAGAAGCACUUCCGAAUCAAUUAUCGGUGUUUAAAAUAUAUUUUUAGAUAUCAUGGACCAUACAUAAUCCCGGCAUCAACUUUUGUGUAGCGCUUGAUAUAUGUUUAUAAUCAUCUGCAAGACUGCGUUAAGAAAAUGAUGUGAAAUAUUUAGAUUGGUACGCUGCGAGGAGUGGGCUGGAAUGACAUGUUUCCUCUCUCUAUAUUGUCAUAGUGGUGGAGGUACAUGCAGAUCUGACGCCAUUUUUACAUAUUUGCAUAUAUCAAUGGUCAAUAUUUUUUUUGUGUUUUCCUACUGACAUUUACAUACUACUUUGCGUUUUAAAAGCUACAAACAGUUUUCUCUGUGCAGACCAUGAAGAGAUGCAUCUCAGAGGACAAGCAAUGCCAUGUUUUCAUUGUACUGAAAAUACUUAGUUUCCUGCCAAUUUUGUUAGUAAUCUAUAUAUAACUAUACUUCUUAUUGAUUUUCUCUGUGCAGACCAUAAAGGGAUGCCUCCCGGGACAAGCAUCGUCGUAUUUUCAUUGUACUAAAAAACAUAAUUUCCUGGUCAUUUUUGUUAUUAAUCCGUACAUAACUAUAUUUAUUAUCAUGAGGUGAAAAUAUUCUGAGGAUGCUUUCAGGUACAUAAAUAAAGAUAUAUAAUGUAUUCAGCUUCUGCUUACACUUUAGUUCAAUGUGUUCAUUACCUCAUACCACCAGCAGUGCCAGUUUUGCUUACUUCCAUUAAUAGCCAUGUAGGGAUUAAUCCUGCCCUGUUAUGUCCUGUCCAAUUACAUAUUUAUGCCUUCUCUUUGGAUUUAGAUUAAUUAGAUAUUGUAUUAUGAGAUAUUGUAUUAUGAGACUAGAG